rnacentral:lncRNA from 1 species
GGUCACCGCGGCGGAGGCUCUGGUGCCGGCGGUCACCGCGGCGGAGGUGGCUCCCUCGGGGGCGCGGGUGGACUCGGAGGAGGUCUGCUCGGCGGGGCAGGAGGAUUCGGCGGCGGCGCUUCGCUGGGUGGAACGGGAGCCGUCAGUAAUCAGUUCGGAGGCUUCGGAGGUCACGGCUCGGCCACGGGAUCCGCCGCCGGCAACGUCGUUUCGGGUCAGACGGCAGGCCCGGCUGGCAUAACUUCAAUCACCAGCGUCGGCUCCAGCGCUGAGGGGUCGGCCUCGGGCGGCGGCAGCAGCUUCAACAAGGCACACGCCAAUAAUGCCCAGCUCAGUGGCCUCCUGGGGCAGCUCUCGACCUCCAACACUGGAGCCGUCUCGCAUCAGAGCGGUGGGGCAGGCAAAUAUCGGAAGUAAACAGGUGGCAAUCACAACCAGCACCAGACAAGCGCUCGAUACUGCCAACCAGCAGCCGAUCAAGAGCAAGACGCGGCCAGCGGAGUGCAGAGCUUAUCAGGAGCGAGCUUUGAAUACCAAUCCACCCAUGGAAACGACGCGCUUCUGCGCGCGUUCAAACCUUUACUUCAUGUGAUGCCAACUCGCAUCAGCUCGUUGAGCAAUACACGAUGAAUAAGACCA